rnacentral:rRNA from 1 species
AUUGAACGCUGGCGGCAUGCCUUACACAUGCAAGUCGAACGGCAGCACGGGAGCAAUCGUGGUGGCGAGUGGCGAACGGGUGAGUAAAGUAUCGGAACGUGCCCAGUCGUGGGGGAUAACGCAGCGAACGUUACGCUAAUACCGCAUACGAUCUAUGGACGAAAGAGGGGGAUCGCAAGACCUCGCGCGAUUGGAGCGGCCGAUAUCAGAUUAGGUAGUUGGUGGGGUAACGGCGCACCAAGCCGACGAUCUGUAGCUGGUCUGAGAGGACGACCAGCCACACUGGGACUGAGACACGGCCCAGACUCCUACGGGAGGCAGCAGUGGGGAAUUUUGGACAAUGGGCGAAAGCCUGAUCCAGCCACGCCGCGUGCAGGAUGAAGGCCUUCGGGUUGUAAACUGCUUUUGUACGGAACGAAAAGGUUUGGCCUAAUAAGCUGAGCUCAUGACGGUACCGUAAGAAUAAGCACCGGCUAACUACGUGCCAGCCGCCGCCGUAA